GCGGCGGACGGGUGAGUAAUGCUUAGGAAUCUGCCUAUUAGUGGGGGACAACAUCUCGAAAGGGAUGCUAAUACCGCAUACGUCCUACGGGAGAAAGCAGGGGAUCUUCGGACCUUGCGCUAAUAGAUGAGCCUAAGUCGGAUUAGCUAGUUGGUGGGGUAAAGGCCUACCAAGGCGACGAUCUGUAGCGGGUCUGAGAGGAUGAUCCGCCACACUGGGACUGAGACACGGCCCAGACUCCUACGGGAGGCAG
rnacentral:rRNA from 1 species